rnacentral:rRNA from 1 species
UACGUAGGGGGCAAGCGUUGUUCGGAAUUACUGGGCGUAAAGGGCGCGUAGGCGGCACGGCAAGUCGGGAGUGAAAGGCCUGGGCUCAACCGAGGAACUGCUUUCGAGACUGCCGAGCUAGAGUGCGGGAAGGGGCAACUGGAAUUCCCAGUGUAGCGGUGAAAUGCGUAGAUAUUGGGAAGAACACCUGAGGCGAAGGCGGGUUGCUGGGCCGACACUGACGCUGAGGCGCGAAAGCCAGGGGAGCAAACGGG